GUUGCAACUUGAAAUGGGGUUCCUUGGAGUGUGUUCACGGUUUUGGAGGUGGGAAGAAACAUUUUGAAAGUUUGGUUGUUGAAGAAAAACGAAAAUGGAGUGGAGAAGGAAGAGAGAAGGUGUAAUUAAUUUUUUACCCGAUUUGGCCAAGCACAAAUGGAGCUACUUUUGACUAAGGGAACAUUUCCUCUUUAAGUUUUGUCCUAAAGCUUGUUUAUUACCCCUUUGUUUUGCAUUAAUUUGCAUUGCAGGAUUAGUUGUUUUUAAUUUCUUUAAUUUAGUNUUGCAUUUAAUUUAAUUUAACUGUGCUUAGAUAUUUGUUUAGUCUAGUAUUUGGUUUAGCAUUUUCACUCUCUGGACUCGAUUUUAAAAUAAUAACUGCAACCACACCAGAGG
rnacentral:lncRNA from 1 species